AGCAGUGUGGCUCAGUGGAAAGAGCCUGGGCUUCGGAGUCAGAGGUCAUGGGUUCGACUCCUGACUUUGCCA
rnacentral:tRNA from 1 species